UGCAAAAAAUCUUUUCUAAAAUUAAUUCCACGUAGUUUGUCUACGACGAUAAAUUUUUCGAGUUUGAAUAACAUUUUCAAUUUUCUCUACAACUAAGAGAUGGGACAUACAUACAGGCUUCUCUACAAAUACUACUUUCUUGCUCGGGAAUUUUCACUAUACUAGUUCCAAAAAAUAGAAAACUUUGUGAUGCAUUUGAAUUAUCGUAUAUUUGAUAUCGUAUAAUAAUCGAAAGAAAUCAAAUUUGGAAGAUAGUCUUAA
rnacentral:misc_RNA from 1 species